rnacentral:rRNA from 1 species
CCGCUGAAUUUAAGCAUAUCACUAAGCGGAGGAAAAGAAACUAACAAGGAUUCCCCUAGUAACGGCGAGUGAAGCGGGAAGAGCCCAGCACCGAAUCUUCUGUCUUUGAGGCAGUAAGACCUGUGGUGUUUAGGACAGCCUUUGGGGUUCCGUUGUCGCGUCCAAGUCCUCCUGAUCGGGGCCUUUCCCAUAGCGGGUGUCAGGCCUCUACUGGCGCGCGACGGAGUCUCUUUGAGCGCCCUAGGAGUCGGGUUGUUUGGGAAUGCAGCCCAAAGUGGGUGGUAAACUCCAUCUAAGGCUAAAUACUGACACGAGUCCGAUAGCGGACAAGUACCGUGAGGGAAAGUGAAAAGAACUUUGAAGAGAGAGUC